rnacentral:rRNA from 1 species
AACGAAUGCUGGCGGCAGGCCUAACACAUGCAAGUCGGGCGCCCCGCAAGGGGAGCGGCGGACGGGUGAGUAACACGUGGGAAUUUUCCUCAAGGUACGGAACAACUCAGGGAAACUUGGGGUAAUACCGUAUGAUGCAGAGCUGCCAAAGAUCUAUCGCCUUUGGAUAAGCCCGCGUCUGAUUAGGUAGUGGGUGGGGUAAUGGCCUACCAAGCCUGUUAUCUGUAGCUGGUCUGAGAGGACGAUCAGCCACAUUGGGACUGAGACACGGCCCAAACUCCUACGGGAGGCAGCAGUGUGGAAUCUUGCGCAAUGGACGAAAGUCUGACGCAGCCAUGCCGCGUGAAUGAUGAAGGUCUUAGGAUUGUAAAGUUCUUUAGCCUGUGACGAUGAUGACGGUAACAGGAGAAUAAGCCCCGGCUAACUUCGUGCCAGCCGCCGCAGUAA